rnacentral:rRNA from 1 species
AUGGUCGAGGCUGUUGCAGGAGAUGUGGUGUGUGUUGUGGUUGAACUUCCACCAGGCGAUGCCGAGGCCGGUGAGGCAGUUCCCGGAGACCACCUGCAGGAGGCGGUUGAGCGCGGGGUGCCUGGUGAUUUGGUGGUGGCCGGAGUCAUGGCCAAUCCAGCCCGACUGGAUCCAGAUGAAGCCAAUGAGGCCGCCGGCGAACAUGUGGGCCCCGGUGCUGGAGCAGGCGAGGACGCAGUAGAGGGCGAUGCAGAAGAGCACCGACAUUGCGACGAGCAGGAACUUGGGGGUGUGGCCGACGCGCUCGAAGAGGCCCGCGGAGGAGAGCUGCGCGAGGAGGCGGCGGAAGUCGGCGGAGGCGGGGGGGACGGUGUAGUCGGAGAGGCGGCCGACGAAGAAGCGGCGGAGGAGCGGGCGCACGGAGGGCGGGUGGUAGGCCAUGAAGGCGUCGGUGGCGUCCUGGCCGGCGAGGGUGAUGAGCGGGACCUCGCCGCCCGGGUGGUGGCGCAGCCACGGCGUGACGUCGUAGACGUCCCCGGAGAUGGAGAUCCAGAGGUCGUCCGCGGCAGCGUGCGCCUGCAGCUCCUUGGUGGAGAUCAUGCGGACGUCGGCGGCGUCCUUGCUGGCGGCCGGCAUUGCGUCGGCUUCCGGCGCCGUUGCGUCCGCGAGGCCCGUGCGGGCCAUCGGUGGCGUGGAUUUAGCUGGAGCGCGAGGAGGGGUGGUCAGGACUCAGGAGGAAGGGAGGGGAGGGGGGAAGGGGAGAUCGGAUCUUAA